rnacentral:tRNA from 1 species
GGGAAGUUGGCUCAGUGGUAGAGUGCUUGCCUUGUAUGCAUGAGGCCCUAGGUUCAAUUCCUCAGCACCACA